rnacentral:rRNA from 1 species
GACGAACGCUGCGGCGUGCUUAACACAUGCAAGUCGAACGAAGAGCGAUGGAAGCUUGCUUCUAUCAAUCUUAGUGGCGAACGGGUGAGUAACGCGUAAUCAACCUGCCCUUCAGAGGGGGACAACAGUUGGAAACGACUGCUAAUACCGCAUACGAUCUAAUCUCGGCAUCGAGGAUAGAUGAAAGGUGGCCUCUACAUGUAAGCUAUCACUGAAGGAGGGGAUUGCGUCUGAUUAGCUAGUUGGAGGGGUAACGGCCCACCAAGGCGAUGAUCAGUAGCCGGUCUGAGAGGAUGAACGGCCACAUUGGGACUGAGACACGGCCCAGACUCCUACGGGAGGCAGCAGUGGGGAAUCUUCCGCAAUGGACGAAAGUCUGACGGAGCAACGCCGCGUGAGUGAUGACGGCCUUCGGGUUGUAAAGCUCUGUUAAUCGGGACGAAAGGCCUUCUUGCGAAUAGUAGAAGGAUUGACGGUACUGGAAUAGAAAGCC